rnacentral:rRNA from 1 species
GCGUGAAUGAAGAAGGCCUUAGGGUUGUAAAGUUCUUUCACCUGUGACGAUGAUGACGGUAACAGGAGAAGAAGCCCCGGCUAACUCCGUGCCAGCAGCCGCGGUAAGACGGAGGGGGCUAGCGUUGUUCGGAAUGACUGGGCGUAAAGGGCGCGUAGGCGGCUUAUCAAGUCAGGUGUGAAAGCCUUGGGCUUAACCCAAGAACUGCGCUUGAUACUGAUAAGCUUGAGGAUGAUAGAGGAAAGCGGAAUUCCUAGUGUAGAGGUGAAAUUCGU